CCCAGCUUCAGUUAUCAGUUAUUGGAGAUAUGAUAGAUGGUUUGCAAUUGAAUCUAUUGACCAAAAGAAUGGAAGUCCACCACCAAAGUGAUUUCCAAGUGAUCCAACCCACACACAACAUGCAAUCUUCUUAUGCCAAAGUUGUGAUAUAGAUGUGCAUAGAUAACCUGGCCUACUACUACAGGUGCUGAACACUCAGGCCUACAAAGUGGAUGAGUGGUGUCUGGCCAUGCAAAUAAAAUUCCUCACAAACUUUAUGGCAUUGGAUUUUUGUGUGGAUGCUCAUGAAAAGAAGGCAAAGGGCAACACCAGCAAGAUGUUUGUGCCUUUUGGUAAAGGCCUUUGUUGACCCACAAAGUAUGUUUUGGAAAAGCAGGAGAAAAAGAGUGAUGGGAGUGUGGCCCUUAUCUAGGGCACAUUGUUUAUUUCUAUAUAAACUCUUCUUCUUUUUUUUUUAUAAUAAUCUUUUAUAUUAUUAUUAUUAUUAUUAUUAUUAUAAUAUUUUUGUAUUUGAUUACUUUUAAAUAAAGAGGUUUUUGAGGUGUGGUGCUUGCAGCUGCAGCU